GGAAGAUAAAAAUAGAGCCGCAGUGUCAUUUUCCUUUUCCUACUUUUGUCCAAUAAAACAGCACAAAGAUGCUUUUGGUACAAAUGUGAACGUUAAAAAACACCAGGAACUACAACAGGCCCGAGGCAAAUCAAGAAGAUGCAAAAUGCCUCAGAUAUCUAUCCAUUGCGUAAAAUUUCAAUAUAAGUUUAAUAAGAAGAAAUAUGAAUAUACCAUUAACAAGAUCAUCCAUUGGACAAGAUGUGAACCAGAUAAGGAGUCUGUAUGUGAGGUACGAAGUUCAAUAGAAAAUCUACAGUUUCCCACUGAUGGAUCAACAGUUGUGAUCAAACCCAACCCACCGAAAUCACAGCUAUCUGCUCUUUGAUCAUGCUGCUGAUAAUAGCUAUUAAAUGCAUAUGAUAUAUUCCCAGGCCAGCUGAUAUUGAAACAGGAUCCACCAGGUGACAGUGCAGUGCAAUCAGCAACUGAACAUGCAUCCAUGGCAUUGGUACUUGCAUUAGACAAGUCUUUAUUAUUGUUUACAACACACCACUUUGAAGAAAGAUAUACUACAUUCUUCGCAUUCUCUGGUUUCUUCAAACCUUGGCCAAAAUCAAUACGAUAUUUGGCCUGACCAUCGAAAGUAAACAAUCCCCAAUGUCUCUCAAAAUUUCCUGUGGCUAUGCUCCUUUGAUCCUCAUCUAAAAGACUAAAUAUGUAUGUCUCCAUUGGUGGAUUCCGAGGCCUGAGUGGGGUUCCUGAUUUGCUAUGAAGAUGGUCCAUCAAGCCUUUCAUGAAGGUCUCUGCAAUGGAUGAAGUAGCAUUGGCUGCUCCAUCUGUAGGCCACCCAAUCUUUGAAACAACAAUAUUCAUUUCAGGAAAUCCAACAACUGAUAAUGCAGUAACCAGGGUAUCAUAGCUUAGGUCAAAGCUGUUUUUAUAGGUUCUGUGGCUGUCAUUAUGAGGGUGUGCAGCUUCUUUGAAGAGAGAGAAAUCAAGGGAAAUGUUUUUGUUUUUAUUGAAGGUAAUAAAUGGGGAGAUGUUCAAAAAGAAAGGUGAGUGAUGCUUUCUGAGAAAUGUGAGGAGUUCAAUCAUGGUUUUAUUAAGAUCGGGCCUGAAGUGUCCUUUGGAGGGCAGGCCAGACUCUGACUGGAUGGUGUCAUAACUGCAUGGAACCACAACCUUCACCUCGCUUGCCAAAUUUGCUCUUGUUAAAGCUGUUUGGACGUUGAUGGCUGCCCCAAUGACAAAGGGAUGGAACUGCUCACUGUAACUUAGGUGAAAUGGCUCAUCUCCAAUAGCAACAUACUCAAUUCGAACUCCACUGCUACCGCUGGAGAAGUAGCGGGUGACAUUAUCAUGGACCCAGCUCUCCGCAGCUUUCUUGGAAGAGUUGAAACUUUUAAGCAUGGCAUUGGGAAUGCCCACAGUGACACCAAUGUUGGAGCCGGAGAGAGCUUGAAGCACAAGUGGGUCAGCAUCGAAGAGCUUCACUUUGGAGAUGUUGUUGGAUUUCAAGAGCUCCACAACCUUUGGUGGCGGGAGAGGAUGCGAGGUCGUCGUUCCCCAGUUCACACCUACAGCCACAACCGUGGAGCCGAGGGUGCAUACCGUGGCCAAUAAGAGGAAAAGGAAACGGAAACUUGGAAGCAUUUGGCCUGGAGGACGUGAAAUGCGCUAGGAAAACCUGAAGAGAGAGAGAGAGAGAGAGA
rnacentral:misc_RNA from 1 species